GUACACUCCUGCGGGAGGCAGCAGUGGGGAAUUUUACGCAAUGGGGGAAACCCUGACGUAGCGACACCGCGUGAGCGAAGAAGCCCUUUGGGGUGUAAAGCUCUGUCAGCUGGAACGAAAACAAUGACGGUACCAGCAGAGGAAGCAUCGGCUAACUACGUGCCAGCAGCCGCGGUAAGACGUAGGAUGCGAGCGUUGUCCGGAUUUAUUGGGCGUAAAGAGUUCGUAGGUGGUUUGUUAAGUUUGGUGUUAAAGAUCGGGGCUCAACCCUGGGACUGCACUGAAUACUGGCAGACUCGAGUGUGGUAGAGGCUAGUGGAAUUCCCAGUGUAGCGGUGAAAUGCGUAGAUAUUGGGAAGAACACCGGUGGCGUAGGCGACUAGCUGGGCCAUAACUGACGCUGAGGAACGAAAGCCAGGGGAGCGAAUGGGAUUAGAAACCCUAGUAGUCCCAU
rnacentral:rRNA from 1 species